rnacentral:rRNA from 1 species
AACGAACGCUGGCGGCGUGGUUUAGGCAUGCAAGUCGAGCGCGAAAGUUCCUUCGGGGACGAGUAGAGCGGCGAAAGGGUGAGUAAUGCUUGGGUAACUUACCCCUCGGAUUGGAAUAGCCACUGGAAACGGUGGGUAAUGCCAAAUGGUCUCGAGAGUGCUGCGGCAUUCACGAGUAAAGCGGGCUUCGGCUCGCACCGGGGGAGAGGCCCGAGUCCUACCAGCUUGUUGGUGAGGUAACGGCUCACCAAGGCGAAGACGGGUAGCCGGACUGAGAGGUUGGCCGGCCACACUGGCACUGAGACACUGGCCAGACUCCUACGGGAGGCUGCAGUCGAGAAUCUUCCGCAAUGGACGAAAGUCUGACGGAGCGACGCCGCGUGGAGGAAGAAGGCCUUCGGGUUGUAAACUCCUGUCAGAGCUUAAGAAACCCUGGUGGUUAAUACCCAUCAGGCUGACAAAGGGCUCAAAGGAAGCCACAGCUAACUUCGUGCCAGCCGCCGCCGUAACAC